rnacentral:rRNA from 1 species
AUUGAACGCUGGCGGCAUGCCUUACACAUGCAAGUCGAACGGCAGCACGGGAGCAAUCCUGGUGGCGAGUGGCGAACGGGUGAGUAAUACAUCGGAACGUGCCCAAUCGUGGGGGAUAACGCAGCGAAAGCUGUGCUAAUACCGCAUACGAUCUACGGAUGAAAGCAGGGGAUCGCAAGACCUUGCGCGAAUGGAGCGGCCGAUGGCAGAUUAGGUAGUUGGUGAGGUAAAGGCUCACCAAGCCGUCGAUCUGUAGCUGGUCUGAGAGGACGACCAGCCACACUGGGACUGAGACACGGCCCAGACUCCUACGGGAGGCAGCAGUGGGGAAUUUUGGACAAUGGGCGAAAGCCUGAUCCAGCCAUGCCGCGUGCAGGAUGAAGGCCUUCGGGUUGUAAACUGCUUUUGUACGGAACGAAACGGCCUUUUCUAAUAAAGAGGGCUAAUGACGGUACCGUAAGAAUAAGCACCGGCUAACUACGUGCCAGCAGCCGCGGUAAUACGUAGGGUGCAAGCGUUAAUCGGAAUUACUGGGCGUAAAGCGUGCGCAGGCGGUUAUGUAAGACAGUUGUGAAAUCCCCGGGCUCAACCUGGGAACUGCAUCUGUGACUGCAUAGCUAGAGUACGGUAGAGGGGGAUGGAAUUCCGCGUGUAGCAGUGAAAUGCGUAGAUAUGCGGAGGAACACCGAUGGCGAAGGCAAUCCCCUGGACCUGUACUGGCGCUCAUGCACGAAAGCGUGGGGAGCAAACAGG